rnacentral:rRNA from 1 species
UACGUAGGGUGCUAGCGUUAAUCGGAAUUACUGGGCGUAAAGCGUGCGCAGGCGGCUAUGCAAGACAGGUGUGAAAUCCCCGGGCUUAACCUGGGAACUGCAUUUGUGACUGCAUGGCUAGAGUGCGGUAGAGGGGGGAUGGAAUUCCGCGUGUAGCAGUGAAAUGCGUAGAUAUGCGGAGGAACACCAAUGGCGAAGGCAAUCCCCCUGGACCUGUACUGACGCUCAUGCACGAAAGCGUGGGGGAGCAAACAGG